AUGACCGACGCGGUUCAAAGUGUAGUAUCUGUUCUUAUCAGCUUGAUAUUUGAUACAAGUUGUAUUUGUACCCAAGAUAUUAAACUUAAUUUUGGAAGUUGGUGGAGUGCCUGAAGCCUGCUUCAUCUCCGCCGUGGGUCGGCCCGGUAUUGCACUAUGCUCGGGAUUUUUGUUCUAUGGGCA